UGACUGCGUACCUUUUGUAUAAUGGGUCAGCGACUUAUAUUCUGUAGCAAGGUUAACCGAAUAGGGGAGCCGGAGGGAAACCGAGUCUUAAUUGGGCGUUAAGUUGCAGGGUAUAGACCCGAAACCCGGUGAUCUAGCCAUGGGCAGGUUGAAGGUUGGGUAACACUAACUGGAGGACCGAACCGACUAAUGUUGAAAAAUUAGCGGAUGACCUGUGGCUGGGGGUGAAAGGCCAAUCAAACCGGGAGAUAGCUGGUUCUCCCCGAAAGCUAUUUAGGUAGCGCCUCGUGAAUUCAUCUCCGGGGGUAGAGCACUGUUUCGGCUAGGGGGCCAUCCCGGCUUACCAACCCGAUGCAAACUGCGAAUACCGGAGAAUGUUAUCACGGGAGACACACGGCGGGUGCUAACGUCCGUCGUGAAGAGGGAAACAACCCAGACCGCCAGCUAAGGUCCCAAAGUCAUGGUUAAGUGGGAAACGAUGUGGGAAGGCCCAGACAGCCAGGAUGUUGGCUUAGAAGCAGCCAUCAUUUAAAGAAAGCGUAAUAGCUCACUGGUCGAGUCGGCCUGCGCGGAAGAUGUAACGGGGCUAAACCAUGCACCGAAGCUGCGGCAGCGACACUGUGUGUUGUUGGGUAGGGGAGCGUUCUGUAAGCCUGUGAAGGUGGCCUGUGAGGGUUGCUGGAGGUAUCAGAAGUGCGAAUGCUGACAUAAGUAACGAUAAAGCGGGUGAAAAGCCCGCUCGCCGGAAGACCAAGGGUUCCUGUCCAACGUUAAUCGGGGCAGGGUGAGUCGACCCCUAAGGCGAGGCCGAAAGGCGUAGUCGAUGGGAAACGGGUUAAUAUUCCCGUACUUGGUGUUACUGCGAAGGGGGGACGGAGAAGGCUAUGUUGGCCGGGCGACGGUUGUCCCGGUUUAAGCGUGUAGGUGUGUGUUCCAGGUAAAUCCGGUUCACUUUAACACUGAGGCGUGACGACGAGGCACUACGGUGCUGAAGCAACAAAUGCCCUGCUUCCAGGAAAAGCCUCUAAGCAUCAGGUAACAUCAAAUCGUACCCCAAACCGACACAGGUGGUCAGGUAGAGAAUACCAAGGCGCUUGAGAGAACUCGGGUGAAGGAACUAGGCAAAAUGGUGCCGUAACUUCGGGAGAAGGCACGCUGACACGUAGGUGAAGUGAUUUACUCAUGGAGCUGAAGUCAGUCGAAGAUACCAGCUGGCUGCAACUGUUUAUUAAAAACACAGCACUGUGCAAACACGAAAGUGGACGUAUACGGUGUGACGCCUGCCCGGUGCCGGAAGGUUAAUUGAUGGGGUCAGCGCAAGCGAAGCUCCUGAUCGAAGCCCCGGUAAACGGCGGCCGUAACUAUAACGGUCCUAAGGUAGCGAAAUUCCUUGUCGGGUAAGUUCCGACCUGCACGAAUGGCGUAAUGAUGGCCAGGCUGUCUCCACCCGAGACUCAGUGAAAUUGAACUCGCUGUGAAGAUGCAGUGUACCCGCGGCAAGACGGAAAGACCCCGUGAACCUUUACUAUAGCUUGACACUGAACAUUGAGCCUUGAUGUGUAGGAUAGGUGGGAGGCUUUGAAGUGUGGACGCCAGUCUGCAUGGAGCCGACCUUGAAAUACCACCCUUUAAUGUUUGAUGUUCUAACGUGGACCCGUAAUCCGGGUUGCGGACAGUGUCUGGUGGGUAGUUUGACUGGGGCGGUCUCCUCCUAAAGAGUAACGGAGGAGCACGAAGGUUGGCUAAUCCUGGUCGGACAUCAGGAGGUUAGUGCAAUGGCAUAAGCCAGCUUGACUGCGAGCGUGACGGCGCGAGCAGGUGCGAAAGCAGGUCAUAGUGAUCCGGUGGUUCUGAAUGGAAGGGCCAUCGCUCAACGGAUAAAAGGUACUCCGGGGAUAACAGGCUGAUACCGCCCAAGAGUUCAUAUCGACGGCGGUGUUUGGCACCUCGAUGUCGGCUCAUCACAUCCUGGGGCUGAAGUAGGUCCCAAGGGUAUGGCUGUUCGCCAUUUAAAGUGGUACGCGAGCUGGGUUUAGAACGUCGUGAGACAGUUCGGUCCCUAUCUGCCGUGGGCGCUGGAGAACUGAGGGGGGCUGCUCCUAGUACGAGAGGACCGGAGUGGACGCAUCACUGGUGUUCGGGUUGUCAUGCCAAUGGCACUGCCCGGUAGCUAAAUGCGGAAGAGAUAAGUGCUGAAAGCAUCUAAGCACGAAACUUGCCCCGAGAUGAGUUCUCCCUGAGACUUUAAGUCUCCUGAAGGAACGUUGAAGACGACGACGUUGAUAGGCCGGGUGUGUAAGCGCAGCGAUGCGUUGAGCUAACCGGUACUAAUGAACCGUGAGGCUUAACCUUACAACGCCGAAG
rnacentral:rRNA from 1 species